GGCCAGACUCCUACGGGAGGCAGCAGUGGGGGAUAUUGCACAAUGGGGGAAACCCUGAUGCAGCGACGCCGCGUGAGUGAAGAAGUAAUUCGUUACGUAAAGCUCUAUCAGCAGGGAAGAAAAUGACGGUACCUGACUAAGAAGCCCCGGCUAACUCCGUGCCAGCAGCCGCGGUAAUACGGGGGAUGCAAGCGUUAUCCGGAUUUAUUGGGUUUAAAGGGUGCGUAGGCUGUGAGGUAAGUCAGCGGUGAAAUGCCCCCGCUCAACGGGGUGAAGUGCCAUUGAUACUGCCUUGCUGGAAUGCGGAUGCCGUGGGAGGAAUGUGUGGUGUAGCGGUGAAAUGCAUAGAUAUCACGCAGAACUCCGAUUGCGAAGGCAGCAUACCGGCGCCCAACUGACGCUGAAGCACGAAAGCGUGGGUAUCGAACAGGAUUAGAUACCCCUGUA
rnacentral:rRNA from 1 species